rnacentral:lncRNA from 10 species
CGAGACUCCGUCUCAAAAAAAAAAAAAUAAAUAAACUAUUAAGGCUGUUGAUGAAAUAGUCAAAUGUCUAGUGUAGGUUGUCUGUGCAUUAACAGACCCUAUUAAAGAGGUUAAUCAAAUCAAAUUUAAAUUUUCUCACACUGAAUAAGACCAGAAAUUGACAGUUGAGAGCAGGUACACUCUGACCUCAGAGGCUCACAUUCCUUCUAUUUUUCUGCUCUGCCAUACUUUCUAUGAGGCAUUCAUUCUCAAUGUUAUCAUUUUCUAUUUCAAAAGAUAGUUCCUCCUUCUUCCUACCACCCUCCACACACAUAGCCUCUGCACUUCUGGCAUGAAGAAGAGCAAAAUAAAAUGACAAAAUUCUGUGCCAAUAGAUUCUGCACAGUUUUAAAGGUCUUUCCUGGAAUUUGUAAUCAGAAAUUCCUGAUGAAAUCUCAUUGGCCAUCAAUAGAAGAGUUAGGAGAUAUAGUUUUAGUUGGGCUUAUGCCUGUUCUUUACAAAAUAUAGGUUCUCUUGGUAAGAAGAAAAAUGAAAAGAAAAAUAAACAUUGGAUAGUACAAUGAUUAACCUUAUGUGUUGACUUGGUUAGGCUAUGGUGCCCAGUUUUUUGGUCAAACACAGGUGUAGAUGUUGCUGUGAAGGUAUUUUUUUAGAAGUGAUUGACAUUUAAAUCUGUAAAAUUUGACUAAUCUAAAUUACUCUCCAUUACAUGUGUUGACCUCAUCCAAUCAGUUGAAGGUCUUAAGAGAAAUACUGAGUUUCCCUAAAGAUGAAGAAAUUCUGCCCCUGAACUUCCUUGGGACUCAACUUUUCCCUAGGUCUCCAUACUGCUGGUCUGCUCUGCAGAUUUUAGAUAGAACUUAUUGAUUGUCUCUAGGGAACACAGACUAAUACAAAUUUUGGUAUUGAGAUUGGUUUCAGAAAAACUAAAUCUUAAGGAUGAGUUUUCUGAACUGGUUCUGGGGUUUCUAGAAUCAAUUCUCUCACUCAAUUAGAUUUAAAGGCACUAUUUGUAGCAGGAAAAACACUGAUAGCCAUGGUGUGAUGUGUCCAUAGAAAUAUGCAAAAUAUCAUCAUUGGAUAUUCCUGUUUAAAUACUUAUAAGAGGCAAGUUUUUGGGUGACUAUGUAUUUGAUACCUUAGAAGAUUUUUAUCAAACUAACAAGUAAAAUGAAAUUGGCUGGUUGUUCGUAAUUGCGCUGGAAAAAGUGGAUACACAAAAGUAUGAGCUCAAAGGGUUGAAUUUCCAGCUAAAGCACUGCAUAAAUUACCUGAAAGGUUAUAUUGUCUGCCUCAAAAGAAAACCUUAUCUUUUGUAGUCCUAAAGGAGAAAGUGCUGAAAACGAGGCCCAGAUUCUUAUUCUGUUAGUGGCUGAAAUAUAACAGAAAUUUAAUUCCCAACUUCAUAAGGUAUCUACUGGUAAAUUGAGGGCAUUGAUUGGGAAGGAAUAAGAUCCUGAAAAGUGAAAAUGUGGUCAUACUGUAUUAUAAAAUACUGAUGAGGAUGAGGACAUUAAGCUUCUAAAUUCUGCUGGGUCUUCUUUACCAGUAGAGGUAGCUAUUCCCCUCCCCCGCCCCCCAGAGGAGAUUAACACUAAUUUGCCUGAAUAAACUGUAAUGAUCUUCUCUGAGAUAAUUGCCUUAUAAGAUACUGCUGAUUUACCUCCAGACACAGUUCCAGAACCCUGCUUUGCUUCUAGUCUAUAACUAGACUCAAGUUCCAGAAGGCCCUGAAAGGUGAAGUAUUUCUAUGAUCUGAAGGUUUGUGUUCCCCCAAAAUUAAAUAAGUUAAAAUUAAUCACCCAUGUGGUGGUGGUAGAAGGUGGAGCCUUUGGGAGGUGGUUAGGUCAUGAGGUUGGAGGCAUCAUGAAUGAGAUUAGUGCUCUUAUUAAUAGGCUCCAGAUCCGCUUUUCUCCCUCUACCACGUGAGGAUACAUUGAGAAGGUGCUGUUCUAUGAGCCUACAAGUAGGCCCUCACCAGACACUGAAUCUGCUGGUGCCCUUAUCCUGGGCUUUACAGCCUCCAGAACUGUGAGAAAUAAUUUUCAAUUGUUUACAAGUUGGAGACCUUAAGAAUAAAGACCGAAGUCCUUCAAAGAGGAAGAAAUUCUGCCUCUGGACUGCCUUAGGACUCAAGACUGCGGCAUCAACUCUUCCCUGGGUCUCCAUGCCACUGGCCUGCCCUGCAGAUUUUAGACUUGACAGCGAGUCCAAAUCUCAGGGAAAAAGAAACAGUAACUGGCAUAGGGAAACAAUAGGACCACAUAGAACUAAUGCCUAAAUUGCUGUGAUCUGAGGAGUGACCAAAACCCCAACGCUAAGAGGACUUCAAAGAUAACAACUUCAAAGCACCUGAGUUUUCAAACUGGAUAUAAUGUCUGGUGUGAUCUGGCAGAUUUUGAAAGGAUAACAUUCUGCCUGAGUUAUGAUAAGACUUCAUAAAGAUUUAUGUGUUUCUUGAAGUUUAUGAUUUGUAUAUUUCCUUCAUCUUUCAUUUGUUGUUAUAAAUCGCAGCUGUUAUUGUAAGUAUUUUUAAAGGAUUGUGUGUUAUAUAUUUUCCUGCUAGAGACUGUUUGGAUGCCUUCAAUCCAAGAAAUGUGUUCAGAUCUUGAAAAAUUAAUAACAGGAAGAGAUUCUUUUAGAAAAUAGAAAACAUUAAAUUAUAGCAUGUAUUGUUAGUAUCAUCAAGCAUGAGGAAAUUAUAGUUCAAUGUUAAAAAUAGCUAUAAGACUGAAUUUUAUUCUUGGUAUAAUAAGUUUAUCUGACUGAAGUGGACCUGAGAAUUAAAAAGAAAUGAGGAAAUUGAACAAACAUCCAGAAGUAAAUCUCUUAAAAUCAGAGAGGGGAAAAUCCCAAACAAGUGAACAUUGACAAAAAUAAAAUUAAAUAAUAAAAUUGCUAAAUUUAUUUGAGAAUUUGAUAUAACCUAUAUGUCAUGAGUAAUGUCAUCAAAUAUAUCUUUUAGGUUAACCUAAGGCAAAUUACUUAACUAAAUUUCUUUAAAGAUUAAACAUUUUUGGCUCAUGUUAAAAUAUCUACUUCUGAUGAUGUAAAUAAAUGGUUUAAUUUAUUCUUGUUACUUAUAAUGAAAGCCAGUACAUUUUGUUUUUGAAUCAGUAUAAAGCAUUAUGAAGCAAUCUUAAGCAUUUAGCACAAUUGUUAAAUUUCAAAAAGUUGUACUUGGAGUGAGAACAUGAAUGUAGAGAGCUGGAGAAGGAACUACAAUUAUGUCUGCUACUUUUCUGACCUGGAUUAUCUUAUACCCACAGUAUCACUAUGGGGUAAUGGGGAUAAGUAAAGUUGUUAUAAGAUUAUUCCCGUAAAAAAUUAGAAUCUUUGAAAAAAAGACAUUCCAAAAAGGGAAAAUCUUAGGAUUUGUAUGCAAUUGUCCUUUCUUACUUACAAAAAAUAAACUUAAUAUAAAAUUUUCU